AUGAGCGAAGAGGGUGGAAAGAUGAACAGAGAGCUCCGGCAACGGUGGCAGCCACCGGCGAGCCAUCGCCGGCAAACUAUUACUACGGGACAUUUCAAGGAGUCGCCAAUUAUCAAACUCCUCCUUCGCAUUCUCAAUCGGUCUUCGGUUUCCCUCAACCUAUACCUCCUCCUGGUGUCCCGUUGUUCCUCCGUGUUACUAUCCUCAUGGUUAUCAGACCGUUCAAGGUUAUAUUGUUGCCGAAGGUAGACCCAUAAGGGAGCAUCGGCUUCCUUGCUGUGGUAUGGGAAUUGGCUGGUUCUUGUUCAUUAUUGGUUUCUUUCUUGGUGCCAUUCCCUGGUACAUUGGAGCUUUUCUUCUUUUGUGUGCUCGGCUCGAUUAUAGAGAAAAACCUGGAUUUAUUGCAUGCACCUUAGCAGCUACACUUGCUUUGGUUGCUGUGACUCUUGGUGUAACAAAGGUAAAUUAUACCCGGUGAGAGACCGAUUCAUGCUGCAAAUGUUGUAAAUUUUCACGCAUAUAUAUAUCCAUAAAGGAAAAAAAAAAGAUAAAUGAAUGGGAAGGGAAUUUCACGAAUAUGUCCACCUAGUGGGAUUUCACUGGGUAUGUUGUUUGGAGUCGUCGUUUAUUAUUGCAAUUUGUAUAUAGCAGAUACCAACUAUGCUUAUAUUCUGGUAAUGCAAUUCUAAGUUAGUCUUCGUUCAAUGUAUUCUUCUAAAGUAUUUAUUAAAAUGGCCAAUAUAAAUGCAGUAUUUGAUUUGGAGGAUUGUACUACAUUGUUUUUUGGAUUCAUAUGGAAGAGAUUGACAAUACAUUUA